rnacentral:rRNA from 1 species
UAGUGGCAGACGGGUGAGUAACGCGUGGGAACGUACCCUUCACUACGGAAUAGCCUCUGGAAACGGAAGGUAAUACCGUAUACGCCCUCCGGGGGAAAGAUUUAUCGGUGAAGGAUCGGCCCGCGUUAGAUUAGUUUGUUGGUGGGGUAAUGGCCUACCAAGACUACGAUCUAUAGCUGGUCUGAGAGGAUGAUCAGCCACACUGGGACUGAGACACGGCCCAGACUCCUACGGGAGGCAGCAGUGGGGAAUCUUGCACAAUGGGCGAAAGCCUGAUGCAGCCAUGCCGCGUGAAUGAUGAAGGCCUUAGGGUUGUAAAAUUCUUUCGCCAGGGAUGAUAAUGACAGUACCUGGUAAAGAAGCCCCGGCUAACUUCGUGCCAGCAGCCGCGGUAAUACGAAGGGGGCUAGCGUUGUUCGGAAUUACUGGGCGUAAAGCGCGCGUAGGCGGGCUAUUAAGCCAGAUGUGAAAGCCCGGGGCUCAACCUCGGAAUUGCAUUUGGAACUGGU